rnacentral:lncRNA from 1 species
UUGAGCCACUUCUAUGAUGGAAUGCUACACCCAGCAAAGGACAUGGACCAAGAGAGAGACAGAAUCCCUGAAAAGAGGGACUCCAGGAAUUCCUGGGACACUGGCAAUGAGAAAUCUGAAGAACGGAGGUGUUGGGGGCAGGAAGUAGUCAAAGAGCUGUGUCAUCACCACACUGAAAGGUCCUCAACGAGGCUUCCUCAUAGAGUGGACAAAACUGAGAGGGUAUGGAGCACUGUUGAAUUCAGAGGACUGCUUUGUGCUAACUCAGCAAGGAAAAUAUGUUCCAGAAACUGAACAUCAAUGUUUACAUUGUAAUGAUCUGAAUGCUGUGUGCUGAUGUGUUAGAUGAUGUUUGGAGAUCUGACAGAACCAUGAAGAACAUUCCCGAUGGCCAACACACCCCUAAGAUGUAUCCAGUGUAGCUGGGAAGAAGAUGCAAACUCAAGCCCACUUUUCCUCCCACUUCCAGUGGAGAACAUGAUCAUAAAAAGGAAUAAGCAGUUACUAUCAGUGUUUGUCCCUUCCAGCAGAGGCUGAGAUCACAGAUCUUGCCUACGGAAUACUGUAGGCUACAU